GUAGUUGGUUGAUCUCAUUAACUCUCAUCUUCUCAUCAACAAUAUUGAUCUUUGAUAACUGAUCUCAGUAUUUGGGAAGAUGGGUAUAGUUAAUACUAAUAGUUUGCUGAUCAUCUCUAUUGUUAUUGUGAUCUUCCUAUUAUCUCAAACUAGAAAUGUACAUGGAGGGAUUUAAGUGACAUACAUUUGGAGAUCAUGAAUUAGCUGUUGAGGAUCCCAAGAAUCAUCUUCAUCAUGGAAGACUUCUUGCUGCAGAUGAUUUUCCUUUCAGUGGUGGAGGAGUUAUAAAUUCUGGGCUUCACUGCGUACAGAUCCCAAGUGGAUCUCCUCUUCUACAUAUUGGUGCUGCAAGUGAUUCACCAUGGCUUGAGCAUUGCUGCAAUCAACACCCUUGUCCUAAAACAUCCAAGUAUAUAAUCAUAUACAUCCUUCAUUUUAUCAGUUUCGACGAUCUAUUAUCUGAAAAUACUACAACAAUUGCUGCCACUGCAAGGGCUACAUUUGGGUAUGGACUUGAACAAACAGGAGUUUCUGACUCAUAUGAUCCAUCGCUUGAUCUUGUUGUACCUGGAAAUGUGACCAAGAAGAAAUUCUCUCACUGUUUAGAUGGCAGAAAUGGAAUUGGAAUUAUUGUUGUCGGGGAUGUAGUACAACCAAAUCUUAAAACAACACCAUUGUUUUCCAAUCAGUCGCAUUAUUAUGUGAUUAUGAAGUCCAUUGAAGUGGGUAAAGAUGUCCUUGAUUUCUCAAAUGUAGUAUUUCCAGUAGGAGUCUCAGACGAAGUAUUUCCUGUCCAAGAUGAGAAAAAAACAAUGAUGGACAGUGGUACCGUCAUGUCUUAUUUCCCCGAGGGGAUAUUCAAAAAGUUAUAAAGAAUGGUAUAUGAUGAUGAGCCAUAUUUCGAACCUCUUAUUUUGUUUGGAAUUGAUCCUUGUUGAAAAUUAUGACUCUUUCACUUUGUCAGGUUAUGUCUAGCCAGCUUAGCAGUGGCUUGGAAACACGAGUUGUUCAGGACAACUAUUCAUGCUUUUCGUUUAAUAAAAACGUUGAUGAUUAAUUUCCUGCAAUUACUUUUACUUUCGAGAACGCAACUGAAUUGAAGGCUUACCCACAUGAAUAUCUCUUUCAGUUGGAGAACAAUUGGUGUGUCGGCUUUCACGAUAAUGCUUCCGUUGCCCGUGACAGGAAGGACAUGAUUGUUUUAGGAGAUCUAAUUUUAUCAAAUAGGGUGCUGUUAUAUGACCUCGAAAACCAUUCUCUUGGACUGGCUCAGCAAAACUGUUCUUCUGCCAUUAUAACGACUGAUGAACAAACUAAAGACGUAUAUCUAGCAGAUGCCAAACCCCCCCAUGUCAUGUCUCCCACUUUGUCACCUGCGAGUUCAGAAAAGGUAACGAGAUUGUUGUCACUAGCAGCUUUCCUAUGCCUGUAUAAUCUUGUUACAAAUUAGUGCAUACAGACUUGAAGUUAUUAUUCUAGGAGCAGCUAGCUGACUGUUGUUUAGGAAUAUCAGUCGUACGUGGUUUAAAUAUCUGGGAGUUUAUUAACAAGUAGUUGUAAUUGUGUGAUGAGUAGCACCA